UAUGCUACCGUGGCUCCGAACAUUUCAGUGCUGCCUGGAUCUGCCCUGUAGGGGCUCAUUUCUCUCCUCACAUGGCUGGGGCGUUCUGGCAUCCUGGGUCCUCCCACAGCCCCGCCCACCGCCUUCUGAGACUGCGCUGAGCCGCUGGGCCCCGCCUGCCUGCAGCGCGCGCCGCACUUCCGGCGGGUCCGCCCACUUCCCAUGCAGGAGGAAGGGUGAGGGAGCCAGGGUGAUAGAGAAUGUCGUGAAAUACAGACUCUAGAGCAAAGUUAUUCAAGGUCGUGGGCUGGAGGAGGCCUUUUGGCUCGGACCUGAGCAGAAGCUUUGUAGCAGAGCAAUAUGCUGCUAUUCUACAGAACACUACGCCAGUUUCCUUCACUGAAGGGGUUUUCUGGAAAUUAAGGCAGUGUUCUUGGACAAAAAAAUCUAAAACCACUUUAUAACCAGACUUCACCUUCACCUUUUGUAGUAACAGUCUGGUGGUUCUCAAGGGCAGCUUCCUUCCAAGUUGUGGGAUCCAGGUGGCUUGCCUCAUGAAGAAACACUGCCUAGCUUUCAGGCACCAAAUAUCACUGGUCAAGAGAAAUUCCAGAAUUCUGCUGGCAGGUACUAUGAAAUCCUUUACCCUACGAGUGUGGGGAGUUGGUGAUUAAGCUCCUAGAGUUGCUCUUGAAUCUGAGGGUCCCAGACCCCACUUAUCAUGAGAUUUAAUGGCUACCAUGCUGAACAACACCACUCUAGGCAGAGAAACCAGCAUGAGCAGAUGCACUGAAGAUUGGGAGCAUAUGGGAACUUGCUUUGGAGAUGGCCACUUCUCUGGUCUGACAGGAACAAUGUUAAAUGAUAAAGUAUAAGGUUUUUCAGCUCCUGCUCCAUGAAAGGAAAGCUGGGAGGUCAGGAUAAGGAGACUGUCUUGUCUCCACCCCAUUCCCAAAUGCCCACAUGAGCGAGAGACACAGGAGAACCAGAAUUGUCUAUAAGAUGAAAAUGUAGCUAUUGGGACUCAAACUUCAAGGAAAGCCCAAGAACUGGGGAAAGAUCCAAUGCCAAAUGUUUGACAGAUAAGUACCUUAUAAAUAACCCUUUAAUAUUAAAAAUACAAUAUUUUUAAUACAGCCCAGAAGAUAAUGAAACAAUCUCUCCCCUUUAAAAUUAAAGGGGAGGGGCGCCUGGGUGGCUGAGUCAGAUGAGCAUCUGACUUCAGCUGAGGUCAUGAUCUCACAGUUGGUGAGUUCAAGCCCCACGUCAGGCUCUGUGCUGUAUUAAUGUAGAGCCUGCUUGGAAGUCUCUCUCCCUCUCUCUCUGUCCCUUCCCGACUUGCUCUCAAUAAAUAAACAAACAAACAAACUUUUAAAAUAUAUAAAAAAGGGGAACACUUACUAUUUAAAGGGAAAAUCAUUUAUUUUAUUCCAAUAAAAUCCAUGGAAUCUGUUAGCAUUCUGAGUGCAGAAGAGAGGUAUGGAUUGAAUUUAAGUGUUGUCGUCAAUACGUAAAGUGUUGCUUUGUAGAGGAUAAUGACUGGUUCUUUUUAUUCUGCACUUAAGUCAUGGAUGAAACCUGAGUUUACAUUAAGGUGUGAGGGUGUGACAGAAGAUACAGAAAAGAAUUUCUCGAGCAUUUGUGCUAUUGCAAAUCAGAGUAAGGUAUUAUUGGAGGCUAUGUCCUAUUCCUUUGCCAGUUUACAUCAAAGAAUAAUUUCUUAUCCGCUAUGGUUUAAGUAUGAUUCAAGAAGGUUGGGUCAGAUUAUAUUUCAAGCUUCUUAAUAGUUCUUUAAAAUAAUUCUUAGCCGUGUUAAGGCUUCUUGGGGAAAUGUUGAUGUUUAGGCUUUCCUCCAUGAAAAACACUGACAAACAAUAUCCAGAAAUGGUUAGGCUUCUUGCAUUAAAACACACUUGUAAAAGCAUAUGUUUUCCAUACACUUUUAUUUAUCUUUCUCAUCCAUUAGGCUACUGUCAACAGAGGUACUAGCAUAUCAGUGUGUGUGUGUGUGUGUGUGUGUGUGUGUGUGUAUAAUUUUCUUUUGGAUGUAAGAUAAUGAGGUGCUGUGUGAAGAGGGUUGUCAGUGGAAAAAAUCAAUGAUAGUUUAUGUUUGGUAAUACAUAAGAGGAUGUUGAACAUACUGCUGAUGACCUUGGAAAUUGCUUUGUUCUUAGGUUAUAUAUGUUAGUUUUAUUUAGUAAUGAUAUUCUUAAAAUAUGAAAAUGGAAACUGACAAAUAAGAAUGGAAUUGGGGUGCCUGGGUGGCUCAGUUGGUUGAGCGUCCGACUUCAGCUCAGG